rnacentral:lncRNA from 1 species
AUGUCGUCAGAGAAGGAAGCUUCAAGCUCCAAAGAGAAACGCAGACUAUCGUGCACUGCUCACUUUGAUGCCUUAUGGUUCUGCUACUCCCCGGUUCAUCAAAUGCAGCAGUAUUACAGGCUUGGUGUUCUUGAUAAAUGUUCUGGUAAAUGGAAAGCAAUGGUUGACUGCUUAAUGCUCAAGACCAAACCCAGUUCUCAAGUCGAGGAAAUCCUCGAAGCUCACGAGAAAUCAAAGCCACACAUCUGGAAUUUCAGAACACGAUAUGAAGCUUCACAAUACUGGCAAAGACGAUAUGGUCAUUUAGACAGGCCUGAAUGA